UACGGAGGAUCCGAGCGUUAUCCGGAAUCAUUGGGUUUAAAGGGUCCGUAGGCGGGAUGAUCAGUCAGUGGUGAAAGUCUGCAGCUUAACUGUAGAAUUGCCGUUGAUACUGUUGUCCUUGAGUUAUUGUGAAGUGGUUGGAAUAUGUAGUGUAGCGGUGAAAUGCAUAGAUAUUACAUAGAACACCGAUUGCGAAGGCAGAUCACUAACAAUCAACUGACGCUGAUGGACGAAAGCGUAGGUAGCGAACAGG
rnacentral:misc_RNA from 1 species